rnacentral:tRNA from 1 species
GCGCUUGUAGCUCAGUUGGAUAGAGCGCAGGUUUGCGGAACCUGAGGUCGUGGGUUCGAGUCCCGCCAAGCGCGCCA